rnacentral:rRNA from 1 species
GAUGAACGCUGACAGAAUGCUUAACACAUGCAAGUCUUUGGCGAAGCUGUGCUUGCACAGCCUAGCCAAGGCGGACGGGUGAGUAACGCGUAAGGAACUUGCCCUGCAGUCAGGGAUAACAGACGGAAACGACUGAUAAGACCUGGUAAAGUCAGGCGGACUCAUGUCCAGCCUGAUGAAAAGAGAUGCUGCAGGAGAGCCUUGCGUCCUAUUAGCUUGUUGGUGGGGUAACGGCCCACCAAGGCGAUGAUAGGUAGCCGGCCUGAGAGGGUGGACGGCCCAAAGGGGAAUGGGGUACCGCCCUUACUCCUACGGGAGGCAGCAGUGGGGAAUAUUGGACAAUGGGGGCAACCCUGAUCCAGCAAUUCUGUGUGCACGAUGAAGGUUUUCGGAUUGUAAAGUGCUUUCAGCAGGGAAGAAAAAAAUGACGGUACCUGCAGAAGAAGCGACGGCUAAAUACGUG